rnacentral:rRNA from 1 species
AGGUGAUAUGAACCGUUAUAACCGGCGAUUUCCGAAUGGGGAAACCCAGUGUGUUUCGACACACUAUCAUUAACUGAAUCCAUAGGUUAAUGAGGCGAACCGGGGGAACUGAAACAUCUAAGUACCCCGAGGAAAAGAAAUCAACCGAGAUUCCCCCAGUAGCGGCGAGCGAACGGGGAGCAGCCCAGAGCCUGAAUCAGUGUGUGUGUUAGUGGAAGCGUCUGGAAAGGCGCGCGAUACAGGGUGACAGCCCCGUACACAAAAAUGCACAUGCUGUGAGCUCGAUGAGUAGGGCGGGACACGUGGUAUCCUGUCUGAAUAUGGGGGGACCAUCCUCCAAGGCUAAAUACUCCUGACUGACCGAUAGUGAACCAGUACCGUGAGGGAAAGGCGAAAAGAACCCCGGCGAGGGGAGUGAAAAAGAACCUGAAACCGUGUACGUACAAGCAGUGGGAGCACGCUUAGGCGUGUGACUGCGUACCUUUUGUAUAAUGGGUCAGCGACUUAUAUUCUGUAGCAAGGUUAACCGAAUAGGGGAGCCGAAGGGAAACCGAGUCUUAACUGGGCGUUAAGUUGCAGGGUAUAGACCCGAAACCCGGUGAUCUAGCCAUGGGCAGGUUGAAGGUUGGGUAACACUAACUGGAGGACCGAACCGACUAAUGUUGAAAAAUUAGCGGAUGACUUGUGGCUGGGGGUGAAAGGCCAAUCAAACCGGGAGAUAGCUGGUUCUCCCCGAAAGCUAUUUAGGUAGCGCCUCGUGAAUUCAUCUCCGGGGGUAGAGCACUGUUUCGGCAAGGGGGUCAUCCCGACUUACCAACCCGAUGCAAACUGCGAAUACCGGAGAAUGUUAUCACGGGAGACACACGGCGGGUGCUAACGUCCGUCGUGAAGAGGGAAACAACCCAGACCGCCAGCUAAGGUCCCAAAGUCAUGGUUAAGUGGGAAACGAUGUGGGAAGGCCCAGACAGCCAGGAUGUUGGCUUAGAAGCAGCCAUCAUUUAAAGAAAGCGUAAUAGCUCACUGGUCGAGUCGGCCUGCGCGGAAGAUGUAACGGGGCUAAACCAUGCACCGAAGCUGCGGCAGCGACGCUGAUGCGUUGUUGGGUAGGGGAGCGUUCUGUAAGCCUGCGAAGGUGUGCUGUGAGGCAUGCUGGAGGUAUCAGAAGUGCGAAUGCUGACAUAAGUAACGAUAAAGCGGGUGAAAAGCCCGCUCGCCGGAAGACCAAGGGUUCCUGUCCAACGUUAAUCGGGGCAGGGUGAGUCGACCCCUAAGGCGAGGCCGAAAGGCGUAGUCGAUGGGAAACAGGUUAAUAUUCCUGUACUUGGUGUUACUGCGAAGGGGGGACGGAGAAGGCUAUGUUGGCCGGGCGACGGUUGUCCCGGUUUAAGCGUGUAGGCUGGUUUUCCAGGCAAAUCCGGAAAAUCAAGGCUGAGGCGUGAUGACGAGGCACUACGGUGCUGAAGCAACAAAUGCCCUGCUUCCAGGAAAAGCCUCUAAGCAUCAGGUAACAUCAAAUCGUACCCCAAACCGACACAGGUGGUCAGGUAGAGAAUACCAAGGCGCUUGAGAGAACUCGGGUGAAGGAACUAGGCAAAAUGGUGCCGUAACUUCGGGAGAAGGCACGCUGAUAUGUAGGUGAAGUCCCUCGCGGAUGGAGCUGAAAUCAGUCGAAGAUACCAGCUGGCUGCAACUGUUUAUUAAAAACACAGCACUGUGCAAACACGAAAGUGGACGUAUACGGUGUGACGCCUGCCCGGUGCCGGAAGGUUAAUUGAUGGGGUUAGCCGCAAGGCGAAGCUCUUGAUCGAAGCCCCGGUAAACGGCGGCCGUAACUAUAACGGUCCUAAGGUAGCGAAAUUCCUUGUCGGGUAAGUUCCGACCUGCACGAAUGGCGUAAUGAUGGCCAGGCUGUCUCCACCCGAGACUCAGUGAAAUUGAACUCGCUGUGAAGAUGCAGUGUACCCGCGGCAAGACGGAAAGACCCCGUGAACCUUUACUAUAGCUUGACACUGAACAUUGAGCCUUGAUGUGUAGGAUAGGUGGGAGGCUUGGAAGUGUGGACGCCAGUCUGCAUGGAGCCGACCUUGAAAUACCACCCUUUAAUGUUUGAUGUUCUAACGUUGACCCGUAAUCCGGGUUGCGGACAGUGUCUGGUGGGUAGUUUGACUGGGGCGGUCUCCUCCUAAAGAGUAACGGAGGAGCACGAAGGUUGGCUAAUCCUGGUCGGACAUCAGGAGGUUAGUGCAAUGGCAUAAGCCAGCUUGACUGCGAGCGUGACGGCGCGAGCAGGUGCGAAAGCAGGUCAUAGUGAUCCGGUGGUUCUGAAUGGAAGGGCCAUCGCUCAACGGAUAAAAGGUACUCCGGGGAUAACAGGCUGAUACCGCCCAAGAGUUCAUAUCGACGGCGGUGUUUGGCACCUCGAUGUCGGCUCAUCACAUCCUGGGGCUGAAGUAGGUCCCAAGGGUAUGGCUGUUCGCCAUUUAAAGUGGUACGCGAGCUGGGUUUAGAACGUCGUGAGACAGUUCGGUCCCUAUCUGCCGUGGGCGCUGGAGAACUGAGGGGGGCUGCUCCUAGUACGAGAGGACCGGAGUGGACGCAUCACUGGUGUUCGGGUUGUCAUGCCAAUGGCACUGCCCGGUAGCUAAAUGCGGAAGAGAUAAGUGCUGAAAGCAUCUAAGCACGAAACUUGCCCCGAGAUGAGUUCUCCCUGAC